rnacentral:rRNA from 1 species
AUUGAACGCUGGCGGCAGGCCUAACACAUGCAAGUCGAGCGGAGCGGCUGACGGGUGGGUAAUGCCUAGCAAUCUACCUGGUCGUGGGGGAGAACGUCCGGAAACGGGCGCUAAUACCUCAUACUAUCACAUGAGCGUAGGUCGGAUUAGCUAGUUGGUGGGGUAAAGGCCUACCAAGGCGACGAACCGUAACUGGUCUGAGUGGAUGAUCAGUCACACUGUAACUGCUACACGGUCCAGACUCCUACGGGAGGCAGCAGUGGGGAAUAUUGGACAAUGGGCGAAAGCCUGAUCCAGCCAUGCCGCGUGUGUGAAGAAGGGCUGCGGAUUGUAAAGCACUUUAAGUGGGGAGGCGUUACCCACAGAAUAAGCACCGGCUAACUUCGUGCCAGCAGCCGCGGUAAUUC